rnacentral:rRNA from 1 species
CGAACUGUGCGAACGUUAUUCGGAAUCACUGGGCUUAAAGGGUGCGUAGGCGGCGCAAGUCAGGUGUGAAAUCCCCCGGCUCAACCGGGGAACAGCGCUUGAAACUAGGUCGCUCGAGUGAGGCAGGGGUAUGUGGAACUUCCGGUGGAGUGGUGAAAUGUGUAGAUAUCGGAAGGAACGCCGGCGGCGAAAGCGGCAUACUGGGCCUUGUCUGACGCUGAGGCACGAAAGCUAGGGGAGUGAACGGGAUUAGAUACCCCGGUAAUCCUAGCCGUAAACACUGAGCACUGGAGGGGAGGGGCUUCGGCCUUUUCCCUCGCAGCGAAAGCGUUAAGUGCUCCGCCUGGGGAGUAUGGUCGCAAGGCUG